CAGUUAGUUGGCGGGGUAACGGCCCACCAAGACGAUGAUCAGUAGGGGAACUGAGAGGUUGAUCCCCCACACUGGCACUGAGAUACGGGCCAGACUCCUACGGGAGGCAGCAGUAGGGAAUAUUGGUCAAUGGAUGGAAGUCUGAACCAGCCAUGCCGCGUGCAGGAAGAAGGCCUUCUGGGUUGUAAACUGCUUUUGCCAGGGGAUAAAAUGACCUUGCGAGGUUAAUUGAAGGUACCUGGUGAAUAAGCCACGGCUAACUACGUGCCAGCAGCCGCGGUAAUACGUAGGUGGCAAGCGUUGUCCGGAUUUAUUGGGUUUAAAGGGUGCGUAGGCGGCUUAUUAAGUCAGUGGUGA
rnacentral:rRNA from 1 species